rnacentral:rRNA from 1 species
GAUGAACGCUAGCUACAGGCUUAACACAUGCAAGUCGAGGGGAAACGAUAUUGGAAGCUUGCUUCUGAUAGGCGUCGACCGGCGCACGGGUGAGUAACGCGUAUCCAACCUUCCGUACACUCAGGGAUAGCCUUUCGAAAGAAAGAUUAAUACCUGAUGGUAUCUUAAGCACACAUGUAAUUAAGAUUAAAGAUUUAUCGGUGUACGAUGGGGAUGCGUUCCAUUAGGUAGUAGGCGGGGUAACGGCCCACCUAGCCAACGAUGGAUAGGGGUUCUGAGAGGAAGGUCCCCCACAUUGGAACUGAGACACGGUCCAAACUCCUACGGGAGGCAGCAGUGAGGAAUAUUGGUCAAUGGACGAGAGUCUGAACCAGCCAAGUAGCGUGAAGGAUGAAGGUCCUACGGAUUGUAAACUUCUUUUAUAAGGGAAUAAACCCUCCCACGUGUGGGAGCUUGUAUGUACCUUAUGAAUAAGCAUCGGCUAACUCCGUG